UACGGAGGAUGCAAGCGUUAUCCGGAAUUAUUGGGCGUAAAGCGUCCGCAGGUGGCACUUCAAGUCUGCUGUCAAAGACCGGGGCUUAACCCUGGAAAGGCAGUGGAAACUGAAGCGCUAGAGUGCGGUAGGGGUAGAGGGAAUUCCCGGUGUAGCGGUGAAAUGCGUAGAGAUCGGGAAGAACAUCGGUGGCGAAAGCGCUCUACUGGACCGCAACUGACACUCAGGGACGAAAGCUAGGGGAGCGAAUGGG
rnacentral:rRNA from 1 species